rnacentral:rRNA from 1 species
UACGUAGGGAGCAAGCGUUGUCCGGAAUCAUUGGGCGUAAAGCGCGCGUAGGUGGCCACAUAAGUCCGUUGUGAAAGUCAAAGGCUCAACCUUUGAAAGCGGGUGGAUACUGUCGGGCUAGAGUCCGGAAGAGGCGAGUGGAAUUCCUGGUGUAGCGGUGGAAUGCGCAGAUAUCAGGAGGAACACCAACGGCGAAGGCAGCUCGCUGGGACGGUACUGACACUAAGGCGCGAAAGCGUGGGGAGCGAACAGG